GAAGAAAAAGGAAGCUGAGUUAGCUGAUAUGGUAUAUUCUGCUGAGAUCACCUGCCAAGGGUGAGGGGCUUGGGCUGAAGAAGCCUUUAGCUAAUCAAAACCUCCUGAAGUUUAAAGAGAUUGGAAUCCAGUUGGCAUGCUAUUAUCGCUUCAUCUCCGACUGAGGCAGCCAUUCAUGGUAACUCUCAGUCUUGAGGAUUCAACUUUGGCAGACAAGGGUCUCACAUUAACAACUGCAUUUUGCUAAAGUCAUGGUACAUGGGAACAAGGAGUUGUUGGCAGUAUGGCCCAAGAAAGACUUCAAGCUCCUUGAAGGAAGGCCACACAUCUCUCCGGUUCACCAGGAUGCCUGCUUGCGCGGCAGGGACCCUGACAUCAGAAGCUCUCAUGGCCCGAGGCUGUGUUGAAGAGGAAAUAAAUGAGCCUGCCCUACUUCCAGAGGCUCUAGUAAUCUGUGUGCGGCAGAGAACCCGGGCUGGGCAAGAUGUGUGUGGACGAGCGACCUCUAGUGGCUGAAAAUGGGAGCUGCAUCGCCU
rnacentral:lncRNA from 1 species